GAUGAACGCUGGCGGCGUGCCUAAUACAUGCAAGUCGAGCGAACAGACGAGGAGCUUGCUCCUCUGACGUUAGCGGCGGACGGGUGAGUAACACGUGGAUAACCUACCUAUAAGACUGGGAUAACUUCGGGAAACCGGAGCUAAUACCGGAUAAUAUAUUGAACCGCAUGGUUCAAUAGUGAAAGACGGUUUUGCUGUCACUUAUAGAUGGAUCCGCGCCGGAUUAGCUAGUUGGUAAGGUAACGGCUUACCAAGGCAACGAUGCGUAGCCGACCUGAGAGGGUGAUCGGCCACACUGGAACUGAGACACGGUCCAGACUCCUACGGGAGGCAGCAGUAGGGAAUCUUCCGCAAUGGGCGAAAGCUUGACGGAGCAACGCCGCGUGAGUGAUGAAGGUCUUCGGAUCGUAAAACUCUGUUAUUAGGGAAGAACAAAUGUGUAGGUAACUAUGCACGUCUUGACGGUACCUAAUCAGAAAGCCACGGCUAACUACGUG
rnacentral:rRNA from 1 species